rnacentral:rRNA from 1 species
GAUGAACGCUGGCGGCGUGCCUAAUACAUGCAAGUCGAGCGAACAGACGAGGAGCUUGCUCCUCUGACGUUAGCGGCGGACGGGUGAGUAACACGUGGAUAACCUACCUAUAAGACUGGGAUAACUUCGGGAAACCGGAGCUAAUACCGGAUAAUAUAUUGAACCGCAUGGUUCAAUAGUGAAAGACGGUUUUGCUGUCACUUAUAGAUGGAUCCGCGCCGCAUUAGCUAGUUGGUAAGGUAACGGCUUACCAAGGCAACGAUGCGUAGCCGACCUGAGAGGGGGAGCGGCCACACGGGAACUGAGACCCGGUCCAGACCCCCCCGGGGGGCAGCAGGAGGGAAUCUUCCGCAAUGGGCGAAAGCCGGACGGGGCAACGCCGCGGGAGUAAAAAAGGUCUUCGGAUCUUAAAACUUUUUUAUUAGGGAAAAAAAAAUGUGUAAGUAACUAUGCACGUCUUGACGGUCCCUAAUCAGAAAGCCCCGGCUAACUAGGU